GACGAACGCUGGCGGCGUGCCUAAUACAUGCAAGUCGAGCGAGUCUGCCUUGAAGAUCGGAGUGCUUGCACUCUGUGAAACAAGAUACAGGCUAGCGGCGGACGGGUGAGUAACACGUGGGUAACCUGCCCAAGAGAUCGGGAUAACACCUGGAAACAGAUGCUAAUACCGGAUAACAACAGAUGAUGCCUAUCAACUGUUUAAAAGAUGGUUCUGCUAUCACUCUUGGAUGGACCUGCGGUGCAUUAGCUAGUUGGUAGGGUAACGGCCUACCAAGGCGAUGAUGCAUAGCCGAGUUGAGAGACUGGUCGGCCACAUUGGGACUGAGACACGGCCCAAACUCCUACGGGAGGCAGCAGUAGGGAAUCUUCCACAAUGGACGCAAGUCUGAUGGAGCAACGCCGCGUGAGUGAAGAAGGGUUUCGGCUCGUAAAGCUCUGUUGUUGGUGAAGAAGGACAGGGGUAGUAACUGACCUUUGUUUGACGGUAAUCAAUGAGAAAGUCACGGCUAACUACGUG
rnacentral:rRNA from 1 species